CCCACCACAACAUCUCUAGGUUG
rnacentral:siRNA from 1 species